rnacentral:rRNA from 1 species
CAAUAGCGUAUAUUAAAGCUGUUGCGGUUAAAAAGCUCGUAGUUGGAUUUCUGUCAAGGACAACUGGUCCGCCCUCCGGGUGAGCACAUAGUUUGGUCUUGGCAUCUUGCUGGAAGCUGUUGCUGCACUUGGCUGUGUGGCGCAGCGUCCAGCACUUUCACUUUGAGGAAAUUGGAGUGUUUCAAGCAGGCACAUGCCUUUGGACACAGUAGCAUGGAAUAAUUAGAUUGGGCUUUUGCUCCAACUUGUUGGUUCCUGGAGCUGAGGUGAGAAUCAAUGGGGAUUGUUGGGGGCAUCCGAAUUUAGCCGUCAGAGGUGAAAUUCUUGGAUCUGCUAAAGACGGACAACUGCGAAAGCGUUUGCCCAGGAUGUUUUCAUUGA